rnacentral:rRNA from 1 species
ACACGUAGGGGGCGAGCGUUAUCCGGAAUUACCGGGCGUAAAGAGUGCGUAGGUGGCUUUGCAAGCGUAGGGUAUAAGGCGACAGCCCAACUGUCGUUGGCCCCGCGAACUGUAAGGCUUGAGUACAGGAGGGGAAGGCGGAAUUCCUAGUGUAGCGGUGAAAUGCGUAGAUAUUAGGAGGAACACCAGUGGCGAAGGCGGCCUUCUGGACUGUAACUGACACUGAGGCACGAAAGCGUGGGUAGCAAUCAGGAUUAGAUACCCUGGUAGUCCACGCCGUAAACGAUGAGCACUAGGUGUCGGGCUCGCAAGAGUUCGGUGCCGGAGCAAACGCAUUAAGUGCUCCGCCUGGGGAGUACGCACGCAAGUGUGAAACUCAAAUGAAUUGACGGGG